GGGAGUAGAAGACCAAGAAAGAGGUAGUUGGAUGCGAUUGUGAAUGAUAUAUGGACGACGAAUGUACGCGAGGACGGUGGAGGGAUCGGUCAGAUUGAAUCAAGUGGAAGUUUAGGAUCAAACCACGAAGGUGGCUGACCCAAAAUAUUUAGGAUGAAGGAGAAGGAGAAGAAGAAGUUAUUCGUUGUUUAUAUUAUCUGUACCUAUGUAAAGCUAAUUGAUUGAUUACUUAA